rnacentral:rRNA from 1 species
UACGUAGGGUCCGAGCGUUGUCCGGAAUUAUUGGGCGUAAAGAGCUCGUAGGCGGUCUGUCACGUCGGAUGUGAAAGCCCGGGGCUUAACCCCGGGUCUGCAUUCGAUACGGGCAGACUAGAGUGUGGUAGGGGAGAUCGGAAUUCCUGGUGUAGCGGUGAAAUGCGCAGAUAUCAGGAGGAACACCGGUGGCGAAGGCGGGUCUCUGGGCAGUAACUGACGCUGAGACACGAAAGCGUGGGUAGCAAACAGG